rnacentral:rRNA from 1 species
CCCAACGGCGGUCCAAGUCCCUUGCAACUGGGCGUAUAGAGGGUGAGAAUCCCGUACGUGACCGUCCGUCAAUCCCAUGUGAGGUCCUUUCGACGAGUCGAGUUGUUUGGGAAUGCAGCUCCAAAUGGGUGGUAAAUUUCAUCUAAAGCUAAAUACCUGCCAGAGACCGAUAGCGCACAAGUAGAGUGAUCGAAAGAUGAAAAGCACUUUGAAAAGAGAGUCAAAUAGUACGUGAAAUUGUUGAAAGGGAAGCGCUUGCAACCACGACUCGCUCGCGGGAACUCGGCCGUCCCUCGGGGCGGUGCACUUUCCCGUGGCCGGGCCAGCAUCGGCUCGGGCGGUCGGAAAAAGGCACCGGGAACGUGACUCCUUUCGGGGAGUGUUAUAGCCCGGGGUGCAAUGCGACCUGCCGGGGCCGAGGACAGCGCUUCUGCUAGGAUGCUGGCGUAAUGGUUGCCAGCGACCCGUCUUGAAACACGGACCAAGGAGUCGACCAACCGCGCGAGUGUUUGGGUGUAAACCCCAUGGCGCGUAAUGAAAGUGAACGUAGGUGGGAGCCCCNCCGGGUGCACCAUCGACCGAUCUUGAUGUCUUCGGAUGGAUUCGAGUACGAGCACGGCUGGUCGGACCCGAAAGAUGGUGAACUAUGCGUGAAUAGGGUGAAGCCAGAGGAAACUCUGGUGGAGGCUCGCAGCGGUUCUGACGUGCAAAUCGAUCGUCAAAUUUGCGCAUAGGGGCGAAAGACUAAUCGAACCGUCUAGUAGCUGGUUCCUGUCGAAGUUUCCCUCAGGAUAGCAGCAACGAGAAACCAGUCUCAUGAGGUAGAGCGAACGAUUAGAGGCCUGGGGGUUGAAACAGCCUUCACCCAUUCUCGAACUUCGAAUAUGUGAGAAGUCCUUGUUACU